GACGAACGCUGGCGGCGUGCUUAACACAUGCAAGUCGAACGGAAAGGCCCUGCUUUUGUGGGGUGCUCGAGUGGCGAACGGGUGAGUAACACGUGAGUAACCUGCCCUUGACUUUGGGAUAACUUCAGGAAACUGGGGCUAAUACCGGAUAGGAGCUCCUGCUGCAUGGUGGGGGUUGGAAAGUUUCGGCGGUUGGGGAUGGACUCGCGGCUUAUCAGCUUGUUGGUGGGGUAGUGGCUUACCAAGGCUUUGACGGGUAGCCGGCCUGAGAGGGUGACCGGCAAAAUGGGGAAGGAGGAACGGCCAAGACUCCGCGGGGGGGCAGAAGGGGGGAAUAUGGAACAAGGGGGGGAAGCUGAAGGCAGAAACCGCGGGGGGGGGAGGAGGGGUUUGGGGUUGAAAACCGGUUUCGCCGGGGAAGAAGGGGGAGGGAGGGAAAGGGGAAAAGAAAAACCGGCAAACAACG
rnacentral:rRNA from 1 species